rnacentral:rRNA from 1 species
ACGCUGGCGGCGUGCCUAAUACAUGCAAGUAGAACGCUGAAGGAGGAGCUUGCUUCUCUGGAUGAGUUGCGAACGGGUGAGUAACGCGUAGGUAACCUGCCUGGUAGCGGGGGAUAACUAUUGGAAACGAUAGCUAAUACCGCAUAAGAGUAGAUGUUGCAUGACAUUUGCUUAAAAGGUGCAAUUGCAUCACUACCAGAUGGACCUGCGUUGUAUUAGCUAGUUGGUGGGGUAACGGCUCACCAAGGCGACGAUACAUAGCCGACCUGAGAGGGUGAUCGGCCACACUGGGACUGAGACACGGCCCAGACUCCUACGGGAGGCAGCAGUAGGGAAUCUUCGGCAAUGGACGGAAGUCUGACCGAGCAACGCCGCGUGAGUGAAGAAGGUUUUCGGAUCGUAAAGCUCUGUUGUAAGAGAAGAACGAGUGUGAGAGUGGAAAGUUCACACUGUGACGGUAUCUUACCAGAAAGGGACGGCUAACUACGUGCCAGCAGCCGCGGUAAUACGUAGGUCCCGAGCGUUGUCCGGAUUUACUGGGCGUAAAGCGAGCGCAGGCGGUUAGAUAAGUCUGAAGUUAAAGGCUGUGGCUUAACCAUAGUACGCUUUGGAAACUGUUUAACUUGAGUGCAAGAGGGGAGAGUGGAAUUCCAUGUGUAGCGGUGAAAUGCGUAGAUAUAUGGAGGAACACCGGUGGCGAAAGCGGCUCUCUGGCUUGUAACUGACGCUGAGGCUCGAAAGCGUGGGGAGCAAACAGGAUUAGAUACCCCUGGUAGUCCACGCCGUAAACGAUGAGUGCUAGGUGUUAGACCCUUUCCGGGGUUUAGUGCCGCAGCUAACGCAUUAAGCACUCCGCCUGGGGAGUACGACCGCAAGGUUGAAACUCAAAGGAAUUGACG